GUGCACCGUGACCUAAAACCAGCCAACAUCCUGCUGGACCGCAACUACGUAAGCAAGAUUAGUGACGUUGGGUUGGCCAGGCUGGUUCCCCCAUCUGUAGCUGACAAUGUGACCCAGUAUCGGAUGACAUCAACAGCUGGGACUUUCUGCUAUAUAGAUCCAGAGUAUCAGCAAACAGGCAUGCUGGGCAUAAAAUCUGAUGUCUACUCCCUUGGCAUCAUGCUUCUACAGAUAAUAACAGCCAAGCCACCAAUGGGGUUGACUCACCUUGUUGAAAGAGCUAUUGAAAAAGAUACAUUUGAAGAGAUGCUGGAUCCAGUUGUGCCUGAUUGGCCACUUGAAGAGGCAUUGAGCUUCGCCAAGAUAGCCCUCCAGUGUGCAGAACUAAGGCGGAAAGACAGACCUGAUCUUGGCAAGGCUGUGUUACCAGAACUCAACAGAUUGAGAGAGCUUUCAGAGGAACAUUUGGACCCAACUAUGAUGGGUGGCAGUCAGUACCACUCUACCAACCACAGCCAAGUUUCCUUCCGUCGGGUAAAUUCAUGUACAUUACAACAAACAUCAAUAAAUCAGAUACUACUAACAGUCUACUAACUUCGUAAAAAAUCUGCCAUACUGAUAAGCUUGCAAGGCCUAAGAAAAUUUCAUGUGAAUUUUGC
rnacentral:lncRNA from 1 species